CUAUGGCCACACCCCUGGAAUGCACCGGAUCUCGUCUGAUCUGGGAAGCUAAGCAGGAUCGGGCCUGGUUAGUACUUGGAUGGAAGAAUAAUAUUUACGGAUGCCCAGGUGGCUCAGUGGU
rnacentral:rRNA from 1 species